GCAGCAGCUCUGCACUGUCAGUGCAUGCUCUGCGUUUCCCCGUCAAUCUUUAUUUCCAACACAUUGCAUUCUUUCAGAGCUCCCCCAUUGUGCCCCCAUGACGCUUUAUUUCCAACUCAUGCGCAUGAUUUCAGCUCUUGCAAUGUUUUCCCCAAAACGUUCUAGAAAGCUCACACCAGUGAUUUCAGCUCUUGCCCUGUUUCCCACAAGAUCUUUAUUCUCAGCUCCCGGUUUGCUUCAGCUGCAGCACUGCAUUCCAGUGAGAUGCCCCAGCACUGCACAGCUCUGCAUCACAGACACACCUUCACACUGUGCUGUGGGUCCCAGCAGCAGCUCUGCAUUACCAGCUCAUGCACAGUGAUUUCAGCUGUGCCCCGCGGCCCCUCAAGGAUCUCAAUUACCAGCUCAUGUCUUGCCCUAUUACCUCCUCGUGCUACAUAGUAAACACACAGCAGUGAUUUCAGCUCUUGCCUCGUUUCCCACAAGAUCUUUAUUCUCAGCUGUUUGUCGGCUUCAGCUCCAGCACUGCACACUGUGGCUGUGCUCCAGCUUUGUACAGCUCUGGCUCAGACACCUCCAUGCCCUGUGCUGUGGGUUCCUGCAGCGGCUCUGCACUGUCAGCCCAUUCUAUGACACAGCACAUGCACCACAUUUCCCCCGUCAGCCUUUAUUUUCAGCACAGUACACACAAUAAGGACGCUUGUUCUAUUUUCCCUUCAGAGCUCUGUAACAAACUCACACCAGUGAUUUCAGCUCUUGCCCUGUUUCCCACACGAUCUUUAUUCUCCGCUCCUGGUCUGCUUCAGCUCCAGCACUGUACUCCAGUGAGAUGCCGCAGCACUGCACAGCUCUGCCUCACAGAUGCACCUUCACACUGUGCUGUGGGAUUCAGCAGCAGCUCUGCACUCUCAGCUCUUGCCCCAUGUUUCCCACUCAGUCUUUAUUUCCAGCUCACACCCAUGAUUUCAGCUCAUGUCCCGUUUCCCCUGUGAAGUUCCAUAACAAACUCACACCAGUGAUUUCAGCUCUUGCAGUUUCUGCUCACAUCUUUAUUCUCAGCUCCCUGUGUUUCAGCUCCAGCUCUGUGCACUCUGGGUAUGCUCGGGCUGCACACAGCUCUGGCUCAGACACCUCCAUGCCCGGUGCUGUGGGUUCCAGCAGCAGCUCUGCACUGUCAGUGCAUGCUCUGCGUUUCCCCCCUCAAUCUUUAUUACC
rnacentral:lncRNA from 7 species